rnacentral:rRNA from 1 species
GAUUAACGCUGGCGGCGUGCAUAACACAUGCCAGUCGAACGAUGAAACUUUAAUGAACCCUUCGGGGAGAAUUAAAGCGGAUUAGUGGCGAACGGGUGAGUAACGCGUGAGUAACCUGCCUUACACAAGGGGAUAGCCUUUGGAAACGAAGAAUAAUACCCUAUAAAACCAUAAAAGCACAUGCAAUUAUGGUCAAAGUGAUAGCGGUGUAAGAUGGACUUGCGUCUGAUUAGCUAGUUGGUGAGAUAAAAGCCCACCAAGGCAACGAUCAGUAGCCGGCUUGAGAGAGUGUACGGCCACAUUGGGACUGAGACACGGCCCAGACUCCUACGGGAGGCAGCAGUGGGGAAUUUUGCACAAUGGGGGAAACCCUGAUGCAGCGACGCCGCGUGAUUGAGAAGGCCUUCGGGUUGUAAAAAUCUUUUGUAUAGGAAGAAAAUGACAGUACUAUACGAAUAAGGUCCGGCUAAUUACGUG